CGGGAGUCCGGGGAGCGGACAGGGAGUCGGGGACAGGGUUCGGAGGCAAGGGACUACAGGGAGGCAACGGACCAUGGUCUGCGGAAUUGGCGAGCUGCACCCUUGAAAUGAGGGAACAGAACAUGCCUUCCAAGGGCUCUCCUGUCCCCGUGGGAACGGAAGACAGGAAGUUGGGGCCUGGAGCUGCUGUCCUGGGCCACAGGAGGAAGUCACAGAUUAUGAGAUAGACAGCACCACGAAACUGCCACGAUGGGUCCCGUUUCUACUCUUGGGCUGUUGUGUGAAAGAGAAACUUCCUUUGUUUAAGCCACUUAACUUUGGAGUCUCUUACAGCAUCUUACCUGCCUAACCAGUAUGUUGAUACCAGGAUCUUCUGGGACUCCAGGAAACAAGAGAAAUCCUACGACGCAGGAUCCUCCUCAGCACCAUCUAACUCGGACUACGCUUAAAGUAAGAGUGGGAUGAUCAUGGGGAAAUAAUUCUGAUGUCAGGAAGCCAGUCCUGUUACUGACCACUAUUUAGCGCUGAGCUAUAAGUGAGAGAACUUGAGAUGUAAAUCCUUGGAGGUAGAAGUGGAUUUCCAAUGAAUAAACUAGGAAGAACUGA